CCCCAUUUUAAAAGCACUCAACAGACCUUUUGCUGGUGACCCAUUGAGCUUUCAAGAAGGGGCAGAGUAAAAACACCACUUUUGGGGGAAGUAGCAACUUGUAUUGUUUUACUCAAUCUGUCUUAUUCUGAAGA
ensembl:snoRNA